rnacentral:rRNA from 1 species
UGCAAGUCGAACGCGAAAGGGGACUUCGGUCCGUGAGUAAAGUGGCGGCACGGGUGAGUAACGCGUAGAUAACCUGUCUUCAUGUCUGGAAUAAUACGCCGAAAGGGGUACUAAUACCGGAUAUUCUUGCUUUUCAUAAGUUAUGCAAGCAAAGGUGGCCUCUGCAUAUGCUACUGCAUGAAGAGGGGUCUGCGUACCAUUAGCUAGUAGGUGGGGUAAUGGCCUACCUAGGCGACGAUGGUUAGCGGGUCUGAGAGGAUGAUCCGCCACACUGGCACUGGAACACGGGCCAGACUCCUACGGGAGGCAGCAGUGAGGAAUAUUGCGCAAUGGGGGAAACCCUGACGCAGCGACGCCGCGUGAGUGAAGGAAGGCCUUCGGGUCGUAAAGCUCUGUCAAGAGGAAAGAAGUGUACAAUGGCUAAUACCUGUUGUAUUUGACGGUACCUCUAAAGGAAGCACCGGCUAACUCCGUGCCAGCCGCUGC